GACCGCGUAGCUCAGUUGGAAGAGCAUUGGGCUAGUAUUCCAAAGGUCGUAGGUUCGAAUCCCACCGGUGCCG